AGGAAAUGACAUUAUAAGCUCAUCUACUGUGACAUAGUCGUACAGAAAAUAUUGUGUUAUACGAGUCCAAUGUUAACUGUAAGACUGUGUCUUGGUGGCUUGAAAUAAACUUCGACACAAUGCAAA
rnacentral:pre_miRNA from 1 species